AGAGUUUGAUCAUGGCUCAGGACGAACGCUGGCGGCGUGCCUAAUACAUGCAAGUUGAGCGGUAGCACAGAGAGCUUGCUCUCGGGUGACGAGCGGCGGACGGGUGAGUAAUGUCUGGGAAACUGCCUGAUGGAGGGGGAUAACUACUGGAAACGGUAGCUAAUACCGCAUAAUGUCUACGGACCAAAGCGGGGGACCUCCGGGCCUCGCGCCAUCAGAUGAACCCAUAUGGGAUUAGCUUGUAGGUGAGGUAACGGCUCACCUAGGCGACGAUCCCUAGCUGGUCUGAGAGGAUGAUCAGCCACACUGGGACUGAGACACGGCCCAGACUCCUACGGGAGGCAGCAGUGGGGAAUCUUCGGCAAUGGACGAAAGUCUGACCGAGCAACGCCGCGUGAGUGAAGAAGGCCUUCGGGUUGUAAAGCACUUUCAGCGGGGAGGAAGGCGGUGAGGUUAAUAACCUCACCGAUUGACGUUACCCGCAGAAGAAGCACCGGCUAACUCCGUGCCAGCAGCCGCGGUAAUUC
rnacentral:rRNA from 1 species